rnacentral:tRNA from 1 species
UAAUAUAUAGUGAAAUCACAAUAAGUUGCAAACUUAUAAAUGCUAAUAGCUAUAUUAA